AUGACUUGUUGUAAAUUUUCCACUGGUUGCUACUUGAAUUGUGACUUAGCAGCUUGCCGUUCAUGGUGUCGUAAGUACUUUCCGAAAAUUUGUGGACUGUGCGGGGCAAGUAGAUCUGCUUGCAAGGGAAAGAUGUCAACGACCAAAUCGAAGUGUCCCAGGAACAACACUCCAUCAGAAACUGUAAAUAAUGAAUCAAAAGAAAAAAUUGCUGCUGCAUCUACCUCAGUGAACAAAAUGAUUGACGUUGAAAAUGAUGAUGAUGAGUUCUGCGACUGUGAUCUUCAGGAGCCUGUUUCUUUCGUCUCGUGCGAUCCUUCAAACCCAAUAGUGGCCAAAAUACAAAACGCAAUUCAAUCGGUGACAAGCAUCUUUAACAGGCCAUCUGAUACUACGCAAGCGGCCCAUGAGGACUCAAGCGUCAAGGUUCUUAUGCCCCCAACUACUAAAUCCUCUGAUUAUUGUGAGCCGCACUCUUGCGGAACGCAGAUCUCCAUGGCGGCACUCGUGGAUAAAAUCAAAGAGAGUGUCCCAUGCUUGUCUAAGGUUGUCGGAAAUGAAAGCCUCUGUGAAAAGAUGCUCGGUAAAUGCAAGUCGCUGGAAGGCAAACCAGGUUAUGAGAAACCAUGCAUGCUGCUUAAGAAGCUGAAUGGCCUUAAAAAUAAUGUUGCUGAGAUGCAUAAAAAGUUACAAGGGAUAAUUCCACGAGUUUGUAUGACGUUUGAUAAGGCCAACAAAAGAGUCAUAGUGACACCAGGGAAACCUUGUGAUAAUGUAGUCGCACAGUGUCAGGGACAAGAGAAUUCUAUCCAGCAAAGUCAGUGCAAAAGAGAAGAGGAUAGUCCUAUUAAGGCAAACCAGAGCGAAAGAGAAGAAAAUUACCCAAGUAACUCCAAUCAGUCCAUAAAAGAGGAGAAUUCCUCUAACAACUCUAGUCAGGGCAAAAAAGAAGAAAAUCAGUGUAAAAACCCCAGUCUUCCCCCUAAACCUUCCAGAAAGGAAGAUAAACAUCCCGAUGACUCCAAACAAAGCAUAAAAGACGAGAGUUCUAAUCAGUGCAAGAAAGAAGAUAGGUCCUCUCAUUAUUCUUGA
rnacentral:lncRNA from 1 species